rnacentral:sRNA from 1 species
ACGAACAGGCCUAUUCUCUAGCUGUGGAGAAGUUGCUAAACAUCCGGCCUCCUCCUCGGGCACAGUGGAUCCGAGUGCUGUUUGGAGAAAUCACACGUUUGUUGAACCACAUCAUGGCUGUGACCACACAUGCCCUGGACCUUGGGGCCAUGACCCCUUUCUUCUGGCUGUUUGAAGAAAGGGAGAAGAUGUUUGAGUUCUACGAGCGAGUGUCUGGAGCCCGAAUGCAUGCUGCUUAUAUCCGGCCAGGAGGAGUGCACCAGGACCUACCCCUUGGGCUUAUGGAUGACAUUUAUCAGUUUUCUAAGAACUUCUCUCUUCGACUUGAUGAGUUGGAGGAGUUGCUGACCAACAAUAGGAUCUGGCGAAAUCGGACAAUUGACAUUGGGGUUGUAACAGCAGAAGAAGCACUUAACUAUGGUUUUAGUGGAGUGAUGCUUCGGGGCUCAGGCAUCCAGUGGGACCUGCGGAAGACCCAGCCCUAUGAUGUUUACGACCAGGUUGAGUUUGAUGUUCCUGUUGGUUCUCGAGGGGACUGCUAUGAUAGGUACCUGUGCCGGGUGGAGGAGAUGCGCCAGUCCCUGAGAAUUAUCGCACAGUGUCUAAACAAGAUGCCUCCUGGGGAGAUCAAGGUUGAUGAUGCCAAAGUGUCUCCACCUAAGCGAGCAGAGAUGAAGAGUUUUACUCUUAUUGCCCAGACUGGAGUGCAAUCUCGGCUAACUGCAACCUCCGCCUCCCAGACUUCCAUGGAGUCACUGAUUCAUCACUUUAAGUUGUAUACUGAGGGCUACCAAGUUCCUCCAGGAGCCACAUAUACUGCCAUUGAGGCUCCCAAGGGAGAGUUUGGGGUGUACCUGGUGUCUGAUGGCAGCAGCCGCCCUUAUCGAUGCAAGAUCAAGGCUCCUGGUUUUGCCCAUCUGGCUGGUUUGGACAAGAUGUCUAAGGGACACAUGUUGGCAGAUGUCGUUGCCAUCAUAGGUACCCAAGAUAUUGUAUUUGGAGAAGUAGAUCGGUGAGCAGGGGAGCAGCGUUUGAUCCCCCCUGCCUAUCAGCUUCUUCUGU